CAGAUUAUUUAAACUUUAACGGAUGUUUUAAUUUUCAGCAUUUAUUGUUGUUCCCCUUUUUAAUUUGGUUCGGAUUAUUUAAGGUUUUUCAGAUAUUUUAAAUAUCGUGUUUAAUGUUGUUUUUCUUUCAAGUAUUUCGCCUUUUUUAAAUUUAGUCUCUAAUUUUAUAUUUAAAAAAAAAGAAGUAGAAGAAGCAUUGAAACGUGGAUGAUUAAAGAAGAAGAAGCUGGCAAGAAGAAGCAUGAAUAAAAAGAUGCAGAGCUUGCCGCAUUGUUUGCCGCAGAGAUGAUCAAAGAAGAAGAAGCUGCGAAGAACAAGAACCAUGAAGUAAAUGAUGCUCAGGAAAAAUUGGAGGAAGAAGAUGAUGCCCAGCAGGAGAAUCGGAGGAAGAAGAUGAUCCUCCGCUGAACGAACAAAAAGAAUUGGAGGAAGAGUUAAGCUUAUGUCAGAUUAAGUGAUGUCAUAACGAGAAUUCAUGAUUGAUUUCGUGUCGGGUGCUUUCAGCCUAAGUUGAGUUAAGAAAGAAGAUG
rnacentral:lncRNA from 1 species